rnacentral:rRNA from 1 species
UGGGGAAUAUUGCACAAUGGGCGCAAGCCUGAUGCAGCCAUGCCGCGUGUGUGAAGAAGGCCUCGGUUGUAAAGCACUUUCAGCGAGGAGGAAGGUGGUGAGCUUAAUACGCUCAUCAAUUGACGUUACUCGCAGAAGAAGCACCGGCUAACUCCGUGCCAGCAGCCGCGGUAAUACGGAGGGUGCAAGCGUUAAUCGGAAUUACUGGGCGUAAAGCGCACGCAGGCGGUUUGUUAAGUCAGAUGUGAAAUCCCCGGGCUCAACCUGGGAACUGCAUUUGAAACUGGCAAGCUAGAGUCUCGUAGAGGGGGGUAGAAUUCCAGGUGUAGCGGUGAAAUGCGUAGAGAUCUGGAGGAAUACCGGUGGCGAAGGCGGCCCCCUGGACGAAGACUGACGCUCAGGUGCGAAAGCGUGGGGCAGCAAACAGGAUUAGAUACCCUGGUAGUCCACGCUGUAAACGAUGUCGAUUUUGGAGGUUGUGCCCCUUGAGGCGUGGCUUCCGGAGCUAACGCGUUAAAUCGACCGCC